GACGAACGCUGGCGGCGUGCUUAACACAUGCAAGUCGAACGGAAAGGCCCCUUUGGGGGUACUCGAGUGGCGAACGGGUGAGUAACACGUGAGUAACCUGCCCUUGACUUCGGGAUAACUUCAGGAAACUGGGGCUAAUACCGGAUAGGAAUCCUUGCUGCAUGGUGGGGGUUGGAAAGCUUCGGCGGUUUUGGAUGGACUCGCGGCUUAUCAGCUUGUUGGUGGGGUAGUGGCUUACCAAGGCUUUGACGGGUAGCCGGCCUGAGAGGGCGACCGUCCACAUUGGGACUGAGAUACGGCCCAGACUCCUACGGGAGGCAGCAGUGGGGAAUAUUGCACAAUGGGCGGAAGCCUGAUGCAGCAACGCCGCGUGCGGGAUGACGGCCUUCGGGUUGUAAACCGCUUUCAGCAGGGGCGAAGCUUGUGGUGACGGUACCUGCAGAAGAAGCACCGGCUAACUACGUG
rnacentral:rRNA from 1 species